UUUUAUCACCGAAAGUAUUUGAUUUUAUUAUUAAUUGGGGGUGUUUAAUCGUCCUUUAACGGGCCAGGUAGGCUCGGUUAAAUUAUUUUUACGUUGUGAUAAAUUAUUCGGUUUUACUUAUAUCUGUUUAAUAGCUUUGUAGUGCUGAAACACUUUUAGGGCGAGAAUGUUCUAAAGAUUCAAAUAUCUAUUAUAGUCUGAGUUGAAUAAAGGGUUAAAAUUACCCAUUAUUUGCAAUUGUGUUGCGACUUUGAGUUUAAUUUCCGCUGGAUUUUAUUUACAAGCUGUUAAUGCUUUAAUUUUUAGUUUCUUACUAUGAUUAUAUAAGUAAUAUUAGUAUAAGAUAUGUUUCUCGUUAGCCUCCUGUCUGUUUAUUAAAAACAUUUCCACGCUAAAACGUGUGUGGUAGUACCUGCUCUAUGCUUUUGUAAAUGGCCGCAGUAUCUUGACUGUGCGAAGGUAGCAUAAUUAAUUGCCCUAUAAUUGAGGGCUUGUUUGAAUGGUUUGACAAGGUGGUGUUUAACACAUUUUAUUCAGUUGAAAUUAAUAAUGGGGGUACAGAAUCCCCUUAGAUUAAUUAGACGGAAAGACCCCGGGAUCUUUAUUUUUUGUCUGGGGCAGAUUGCUAUAUUUCAUUAGUAAAUUAGACCCUAAUGGUGCAUUGGUGUAAGUUACCCCGGGGAUAACAGUGUAAUAGUUUAUUAGAGGUCAUAUCGAAUGAACUGCUUG
rnacentral:rRNA from 1 species